ACGAGGGCAUUACGACCAACCAUAAGAUCAAACAUUAAUCUAGAAGCAAAAAGGGCCAAAACUCACCUCAAGAGAAGAAAUCUCUUCCAAAGCUCCAAAAGAGAGCUAGAACCCUUCCAAUCCAAGCCCAAGGAAGGUUCUAAACCAACUAAUCUAGCCUCAAAAGCCCUAGAUCAAAAAGCCCCAAAAUCAACCCUAAAUCUCAUUUCUAGGGUUCCAACUACAAAAACCAUCAAAACAAGAUCUAGAGGAGGGAAAUGGGCAACAAACCUCCUUAGAAGCUCCAAUCCUAGCUCCAAGGGUGAAAAUCUCCUCCUAUGCAAGCUCCAAGUCCAAGCCUUCAAGCACCAACAAGGUGGGAAGAGGAAGAAAGGCAAAAGGGAUGCUCCAAACCCAAGCUAGAUCCUUCUCCUCUUCUUCUCC
rnacentral:lncRNA from 1 species